AUUGAACGCUGGCGGCAUGCUUUACACAUGCAAGUCGAACGGCAGCGCGGGCUUCGGCCUGCCGGCGAGUGGCGAACGGGUGAGUAAUACAUCGGAACGUGCCCAGUAGUGGGGGAUAGCUCGGCGAAAGCCGGAUUAAUACCGCAUACGACCUGAGGGUGAAAGCGGGGGAUCUUCGGACCUCGCGCUAUUGGAGCGGCCGAUGGCAGAUUAGCUAGUUGGUGGGGUAAAGGCCUACCAAGGCGACGAUCUGUAGCUGGUCUGAGAGGACGACCAGCCACACUGGGACUGAGACACGGCCCAGACUCCUACGGGAGGCAGCAGUGGGGAAUUUUGGACAAUGGGCGAAAGCCUGAUCCAGCAAUGCCGCGUGUGUGAUGAAGGCCUUCGGGUUGUAAAGCACUUUUGGCGGGAACGAAAAGGACUGUGCCAAUACCACGGUUCGAUGACGGUACCCGCAGAAUAAGCACCGGCUAACUACGUG
rnacentral:rRNA from 1 species